UGAUACAGGGGUUAAAGUGGCAUGAAUGCAGAUAGGACACACUAUCUGCACUCAUGUCACUUUAACCCCUGUAUCA